rnacentral:rRNA from 1 species
AUUGAACGCUGGCGGCAGGCCUAACACAUGCAAGUCGAACGGUAACAGGAAACAGCUUGCUGUUUCGCUGACGAGUGGCGGACGGGUGAGUAAUGUCUGGGAAACUGCCUGAUGGAGGGGGAUAACUACUGGAAACGGUAGCUAAUACCGCAUAACGUCGCAAGACCAAAGAGGGGGACCCUCGGGCCUCUUUCCAUCGGAUGUGCCCAGAUGGGAUUAGCUAGUAGGUGGGGUAACGGCUCACCUAGGCGACGAUCCCUAGCUGGUCUGAGAGGAUGACCAGCCACACUGGAACUGAGACACGGUCCAGACUCCUACGGGAGGCAGCAGUGGGGAAUAUUGCACAAUGGGCGCAAGCCUGAUGCAGCCAUGCCGCGUGUAUGAAGAAGGCCUUCGGGUUGUAAAGUACUUUCAGCGGGGAGGAAGGGAGUAAAGUUAAUACCUUUGCUCAUUGACGUUACCCGCAGAAGAAGCACCGGCUAACUCCGUGCCAGCCGCCGCCGUAA